AGCAACGCGCAGAACCUUACCACCUUUUGACAUGCCUGGACCGCCAGAGAGAUCUGGCUUUCCCUUCGGGGACUAGGACACAGGUGCUGCAUGGCUGUCGUCAGCUCGUGUUGUGAAAUGUUGGGUUAAGUCCCGCAACGAGCGCAACCCUUAUCCUUUGUUGCCAGCGGUUCGGCCGGGAACUCAAAGGAGACUGCCAGUGAUAAACUGGAGGAAGGUGGGGAUGACGUCAAGUCAUCAUGGCCCUUACGAGUAGGGCUACACACGUGCUACAAUGGCAUAUACAAAGAGAAGCGACCUCGCGAGAGCAAGCGGACCUCAUAAAGUAUGUCGUAGUCCGGAUUGGAGUCUGCAACUCGACUCCAUGAAGUCGGAAUCGCUAGUAAUCGUAGAUCAGAAUGCUACGGUGAAUACGUUCCCGGGCCUUGUACACACCGCCCGUCACACCAUGGGAGUGGGUUGCAAAAGAAGUAGGUAGCUUAACCUUCGGGAGGGCGCUUACCACUUUGUGAUCCAUGACUGGGGUGAAGUCGUAACAAGGUAACCGUAGGGGAACCUGCGGCUGGAUCACCUCCUUA
rnacentral:rRNA from 1 species